rnacentral:tRNA from 1 species
GUCGCAGUGCCAGAGUGGUUAAUGGGUUAGACUUGAACUACCAUAUUCAUGUCAUCUAAUGGCUUCGGCCUCGCAGGUUCGAAUCCUGUCUGCGACG